GUUCUCUUAGGGAACUUUUCUCUCAUGGAAGAAGCAGUAGCAUCUUUUUCCUGUCUCAAGAUGAUUGCUUUAUGAUUAAGAUGCUCCAGAAAUCUGAAGUGAAGUUUGUUAGAAGACAUAUUGACUGUCAAACAUGUCUUCCUCAUUUACCCCUCUUUCUCUCUCUCUCUCUCCCUCUUUUGAGAGGGUGAAAUUAUGAAGGAAACUUUUAAGCUGGAGCUUGGUAAAAUAACUCCAUAGAUACCUUACAUGCACUGGUAAAAUACAUAAUUGAUAGUCAAGAUGGCAUUUUUACUAAACAUAUGUACGACACCAAUACCAGUUGUAUUGUUUGAAUAUGUUAAACAAGUCAUAUGUCUCCUGACAGAAAGUUUGCCCCUCAAUUUCCACCUCCACACGGUGCCAAGCUUUGACCUUUUGUUGCAAAUGGGUACCUGUAGGUGAUGUUUCUGAGCGCUUGAGAACUGUUCUUGAUGCCAUGCAACUUUGACCGCUUUUAAUGGGUUUCCCAAGCCAUGGUGAAGCAGCGACUGGCGGUGGCUUUCUGAUUUGCCCAUGCCCCGUGGAUAAGGUCUCUCUUUCUAUCUCACUCUCCCUAGCUGCUCGAAUGGAAAGAAAGUUUGCCCCUCAAUUUCCACCUCCAAAUGGUGUCAAGCUGUGGCCUUUUGUUGCAAAUGGGUACCUUUAGGUGAUGUUUCUGAGCGCUUGAGAACUGUUCUUGAUGCCACGCAACUUUGACCGCUUUUAAUGGGUUUCCCAAGCCAUGGUGAAGCAGCGACUGGCCGUGGCUCUCUGAUUUGCCCAUGCCCUGUGGAUAAGAUCUCUCUUUCUAUCUCACUCUCCCUAACUGCUUGAAUGGAAAGGUAUAUUUCUUUGAUCUUAAAACCUUACUUUCAUCACCAGUCUUUGGAUGUACGAUUUGCUUUUUGCUUUGUACGAUUUCCUUUCAUCACCAAUCUUAAAACCUUAAUUGAACAAUCAAUUUGAAAUAAUUUAGAGUAUUCACAUACUCAGCAUUAUCUUACAA